UACAGAGGGCGCGAGCGUUGUCCGGAAUCACUGGGCGUAAAGGGCGCGUAGGUGGCCACCAUAAGGCCGCGGUGAAAGCUCGGGGCUCAACCCCGAGUCGGCCGUGCGAACUGCUGGGCUGGAGCACUGUAGAGGCAGGCGGAAUUCCGGGUGUAGCGGUGGAAUGCGUAGAGAUCCGGAGGAACACCGGUGGCGAAGGCGGCCUGCUGGGCAGUUGCUGACACUGAGGCGCGACAGCGUGGGGAGCAAACAGG
rnacentral:rRNA from 1 species